UUUUGCAGAUGCAUGCAAGUCUGUAUUUUUGUGAGUUCUUUCCUUUUAGAUGCUUAUUCUGCUUUGUCAGCCCAGGCUAUAGCUCCUAUUUAAGUAUAGGUCUUACUAUCAUGGUGUACACCAUUCUUCUGUGAUUUUUAGCCCCUCUUGUAUUAUAUCGCAGAGUUUCCUCGAAUUUUCCCCUGGCAGUCAGUACUAUGUCGUCCACAUAUCCCUGACAUUUUAACCCUGUGCAGUUCAGGGUCUUGAGCAGUUCAUCAACUGUUAGGCUCCAUAGAAGAGGUGAUAGUAUAUCUCCUUGAAGACAUCCCUUGAUUGUGCUAAUUUCUAUAGUGUCUGUUCCUAUAUUUGUUUCAGCUAGUUCUUAGCAUUUCUCCAAUCCAUCUGGAUGUGGUUUGGUAUACGUGUCAUUGAUGCAUUGCCGAAGGCUCCCUCAAUAUCGAGGAACGCACAGAUUGCUAUUUCCUUUGUUCCCAGUGUUUCCUUUAGGUCACUUGUUAGCUGGUACAGUGUAAUUUCUACCAGUGAUGUCGUUCUUAUAUGGUUGUUUAUCAGCUUUUCAAGGGUUUUUAGUAGAAAGGAUGUUAAGCUGAUUGAUCUGUAGGAUUUAGGAGUGGAGGAUCUCUUUUUUCGACUUUCGGUAUAAACACUACCUUUGCCCUACGCCAUGUCUGUGGUAUAUAACCUAGUGCUAAGCUGCUUCUAUAUAAUCGCAUCAGUGUUGGAGUGAUUAUAUCCAUUCCUUUUUGUAGAAGGAUGGGAAAAAUCCCAUCCGUUCCCGGUGCUUUGUAUGGGCUGAAAGUGUUAAUCACCCAGAGGAUCUUUUUCUCUGUGACUAUUUCAGCUGCUUUCUUGCAAUUUUCUUUCUUGGGAUUAUCUACUCUCACAUUUUCUUGGGGGAUGUCAUAGGUGCUGCCUGGAAAAUGUGUACUUAAAAGGAGCAUUGUUUUUUGUUUCGCAUCUUCUGUAUAGUUACCUUCUACGUUCCUUAGGGCAGUGUUUAUAUCUAUUCUGUCCUUUGCUAGUGCCCUGUGCAAUCUAGCUGCUGUAGAUACUGUGGAGAUUUCUCCGCUGAAUUUGCAAAAAUUUUCUUUUUUCACCCUGCGGAUGGCAUGGUUGUAUGAAGUAAGUAACCUUUUGUAUUCUCCCCAGUUACUUGCUAUUCUAGCUUUGUUAAAUGCUUUCCUGGUUUCUUUCCUUAGUUUGCCCAGUUCUGCGUUCCACCAAGGUGGUUCUUGUCUACUUUUGGGACCUUCACAGGGCAACUUGACUCAUAUGCAUCAAUUAUAUUCCCUGUGAAUUCCAUAACUGCAAGUUCCUAUUUAUUGCAGGUUUUUGUACUCUCUUCACUGUUGCAUGGUUUAGACUAUGUCUUACCAUUUCCGUGUACCUGGCCCAGUCUGUUCCGAAAUGGUGUAGGGUCUGUCUUAUCUGAUUCGAUGUCAAUCCUUAUUAUUUUGUGGUCCGACAUCGACUCUUCACCUGAAACCCUCCAAUUUUUUAUCACUUUAUGUAGGGCUUGGCUACAAUGGUAAUAUCCAAUACUUCUCGUCUCACUUUGAUGACAAAGGUAGGGGUUGAUCCUAUAUUAAGUAUUUCUAAUUUUUCCUUCACCAAAAAUUCUAUGAGCAACACAUCGUUUGUUGUUGUUGGUGUUUCCCCAGCUUUGAUGGUGUGCUUUGGCAUCGCAUCCCAUCAGUAAAGGGAGGUUCUUCUUGCCGCAGUAGCUGGCUGUCUUCAUAGCUCUUCGGGGGAGGGUGGUUCUGCUCUCCUGGGAAGUAUGCCGAUGCUACCACUGCUUCCAGUUUCUUCCCAUCGGUUGUCAUCUCCACCUUGAUGGGAACUAAAUCUCUAGUCAUGAAUUCUGAAAGGGAGAGAUAAUAGUGUUUUUCCUAAUAAAUAUACAUGCACGGGGAUUAUCCUGUCUGGAAUCCCAUACAGCCUUACCAUCUUUGCAGGACAAACCUCUAAUUUGUCCUUUCCACUGUCAGCGUUCCUAGAUGAGAAUUGCCCAUAGAUGUUGCGCAGUGAACAUCCUAGUUGUUACUGCCGAGGCAGCUUUAGCAUGAUUGAUGUUCACCUGGGCUAUUCUCAUUUUCUUCAUAUAGAGUUAUUCUUUUGGGGGAGGAGGAGACAUCUCCUCACCCAAUAGCUCCUCCUCGAUGAGCAUUCUCAGCUCUAUCUGUAGAGGAAGAGGGGGGUCUGGGUUCCCAGGAUAACCUGGUCAACUUCCCUUUCGACAGUGUUUUCAAAGGUAGUCUCCGUGGGUGGAGGCAUUGCUGUUGGGGGCUGCUUCGUUUGAAUAGAUGGGGGGUGAUUCGGGUGGAGGUGUGGGAUUUCUCCCAUUUUGUAUCCUCCUCCCCCUGCCUUUUUCAGGCCCCUUACCAGGAUCCUCCUGAAACGAUAAUUGAGGGUGUGUCCUCUUUGAAUUAUCAUCUCUGCCGAGAUUUCAUCAAUGCUCAGGAUCAUGACAAUCCCAGGCCCCUCCGCUUUCACUGAGUGAACUUUCCACUCCUCAGUACAGAUUCCAUCGUUCUGUGCGUUGACCAAUACUAGUGUUCUCUGUUCUUCUCCUAGAUUUGUCCUAGGGAAGAACACUACAGUCGAGUGAGGUUUGGGAACAUUCCCCUACCCUCACUGCCAGCUUCUUUUCUUUGUUCAGCUCCAAUUUAGGGGUUAUCUCCUGUAGCCACUGUACAGUUUUGCCAUCUUGACAACAUGCCUGGCCUGAAGUGUAUGCCUUCGAACUUUAUUUUGGCUUCCCAUCCUUUUAUGAUAUCUUCAAGAGGGUUUCCUCUAGAUGGGUUAGCUCUUCCAUGGUUAUGAGGGGGUAUGCCUCUGGUAGCAAAGACACCCUUAUAAUCUUUGCUAUUCCAGCGUAGCUAACACCUGGAGCAACUUCUCUGGCCCUAUACUGUGACUGAGGUGUGGAUGGCUUUGCCUUCUUUUCUUUCCUUAAUUCUUUGGGGAUUAGAGAUUGUUCUCUUGCCUUCUUGCUGGAUGGAUGUGUCUCCAGUUUUUCCUUUUGGAUCUUGGCCUUUCUUUCGUCAGCCAUCUUCCUUGCUUCUUCGGGUGUAUUCCCAAUCUUAUCGCUCUCAGGUACCAUUUGGUCAUAGCGCCGCUAAGACCUUUCCUGAGAGGGUCAUCUUUCCCGCCUGGUUCUCCUAAUUUCGACAGUUUGGCAGAGACUUUUUUCUUCCCUUUUGGUUUCCCAAGAGGAGGGUCUGUAUUUUCUUGUGUCACUACCUGAACUCCUGAAGGCCCUUCAUUUGUGUGGUGAUUGGUUUCCCACGUAGCGACUGUUGUUUGUCUUUUGUUGGGAGAGGUCUUUUGCUUCCAUGGAAUAAACGUCCAUUCCACCAGAUUCCUAGGUGUUUUUGGAGCAGUGAGAUUCUGCUCCAGGUUUGGUUUAUUGGUUUCUAUACUCAUAUGAUUCUCACGAGUAGCUAGGGAACUAAAAGGUCCACUCCAUCAGAGCCCCGCAUGAUGGAGUAAGGCUAAUUACUCUCUGAUGUCGCCCGGUGUCAGAGAGGCUCCGUUCAAGACAGCCACUUAACCCCGGUUGCCAGUGAAUCACUCGGCACGGAAUGUAUGACACCUUUGAUUGGGGCGGAUGCGGUUUUCUGUCAAGCCCAAAACUCUUGUUAAAGGGUGAUAAGAUGGAAGGAGAGGGGUUGCUGGUAGGAUUCGGUUCGGCUGUUUAAUGUAAGAAAAAAAAUUAGAAAAUGAUGAAAUUAUAUUUUUAUAAAUAAAACGAUAUGAAGGUUUUCUAUUGUUCCUUGUAAUGACAAGGUUUCACUCAUGGAUAUCUAGUGUUAUCGAUUUAUUAAUAAAUAAUUGAAUUUUAAUUGUUUAAUUAAAGUGGUAAAGUUGUAAUAAUGUUAAAAAACUCGUUUAGCAUUUUUGGCGCUCGAUGUUGUUGGGAGGGGGUUGGCAAGUGAAAUUACAUCCAUAGCCGUUUUGUAAAUUUAUCUUUACGAAGAAAUACCGUUGGAUGAUUAUAUAUUAAAUAAAUCGAUAUUAAAAAAAUAUAAAAAUUUUACGCUUUAAUUUACAAAAAGAGCUUUUUUUAAACCGGCCAUGAUAGGGGGUUAUCCGUUGUUUACGAAGGUUGUAAUAAAGGCUACCGGGGACAGGUUAUCGGUCUCCAUGGUUUGUAAACAAAUGAAUCUGUCUUGAGCUGUUAGAUAUGAAAAAGUCCAGGCCUGUGGUUCAAGGCGGUCUCAGAAGGCAAAUAACAUUGCGAACACCCGGUACACUGUAGUAGCGAGAGGAUGGACAAGGAGUGCCUGCGAGUCGCUGGCCUCGCCGAGUACUCAUGCCAACAGUGCCAUUUCAAGUCAGUUUCGAAAGUGAACGUCGAAGCGCACACAAGCCUGGCACACUCCAAACCGGCACUAGUCGACCGCCGAGACAGACAGUACGCCUGCUCCGAAUGCUCAUACAUCUCGCUCCACAAGUCGUCCCUUGUCUCUCACAUGCACUCAAAACACAUCAUAUGGCGUUCCAAGGACAAUUCAUGAAGCAGAAGGAUGCCGUCAAUAAAACAAAAACUGACAAAUUUGUUUCAUACUGUUUGAAAAUUCAUAUAUUUCACACAUUUUUUAAUAUUUUUUAUUAAUUACACAAAGAGCUUCACGCUCUUUUCUUUUUCUGUUUUGA